CCCGCCGGCGACCGGCGCACGGGUGAGUAACACGUAUGCAACCUGGCCGCCACAGGGGGAUAACCCGCGGAAACGCGGCCUAAUACCCCGUGACGCCACCGGAGGGCAUCCUCCGGUGGCCAAAGGAGCGAUCCGGUGGCGGAUGGGCAUGCGGCGCAUUAGCUAGACGGCGGGGUGACGGCCCACCGUGGCGACGAUGCGUAGGGGUUCUGAGAGGAAGGGCCCCCCACACUGGGACUGAGACACGGCCCAGACUCCUACGGAAGGCAGCAG
rnacentral:rRNA from 1 species